rnacentral:rRNA from 1 species
AUUGAACGCUGGCGGCAGGCCUAACACAUGCAAGUCGAGCGGAGCGGCGGACGGGUGAGUAAUGCCUAGGAAUCUGCCUGGUAGUGGGGGAUAACGUCCGGAAACGGGCGCUAAUACCGCAUACUAUCAGAUGAGCCUAGGUCGGAUUAGCUAGUUGGUGGGGUAAAGGCCUACCAAGGCGACGAUCCGUAACUGGUCUGAGAGGAGGAUCAGUCACACUGGAAACGAGACACGGUCCAGAACCCCACGGGAGGCAGCAGUGGGGAAAAUUGGACAAGUGGGGAAAGGCGUAUUCAUGCCUGCCGCGGGGGUGAAGAAGGUCCUUCGGUUGGAAAGGACUUUUAGCUUGGAGGCGUUACCAACAGAAUAAGCACCGGCUAACUUCGUGCCAGCCGCCGCGGUAAUAC